AAGGGGUAGAGGUUGGAACAGUUUGGGGGACUCAGAAGACAGGAAAAUGUGGGAAAGUUUGGAACUUCCCAGAGACUUCUGUUGAAUGGUUUUGAACAAAAUACUGACAGUGAUAUGGAAAUGAAGUCCAGGCUGAGGUGGUCUCAGGUGAUGAUGAGGAACUUAUUGGGAAAUGGAGUAAAGGUUACUCUUGCUGUGCUUUGGCAAGGAGACUGGUGGCAUUUUGCCCCCACCCUAGAAAUCUGUGGAGCUUCGAACUUGAGAGAGACAAUUUAGGGUAUCCGGUAGAAGAAAUUUCUAAGCAACAAAGCAUUCAAGAGGAAGCAGAGCACUGAAA